rnacentral:rRNA from 1 species
GACGAACGCUGGCGGCGUGCUUAACACAUGCAAGUCGAGCGGAAAGGCCCUGCUUUUGUGGGGUGCUCGAGUGGCGAACGGGUGAGUAACACGUGAGUAACCUGCCCUUGACUUUGGGAUAACUUCAGGAAACUGGGGCUAAUACCGGAUAGGAGCUCCUGCUGCAUGGUGGGGGUUGGAAAGUUUCGGCGGUUGGGGAUGGACUCGCGGCUUAUCAGCUUGUUGGUGGGGUAGUGGCUUACCAAGGCUUUGACGGGUAGCCGGCCUGAGAGGGUGACCGGCCACAUUGGGACUGAGAUACGGCCCAGACUCCUACGGGAGGCAGCAGUGGGGAAUAUUGCACAAUGGGCGGAAGCCUGAUGCAGCAACGCCGCGUGCGGGAUGACGGCCUUCGGGUUGUAAACCGCUUUCGCCUGUGACGAAGCGUGAGUGACGGUAAUGGGUAAAGAAGCGCCGGCUAACUACGUGC